rnacentral:rRNA from 1 species
CUAUGCGCCUUGCCAGCCCGCUCAGGUGUGCCAGCAGCCGCGGUAAUACGUAGGUGGCAAGCGUUGUCCGGAUUUAUUGGGCGUAAAGCGAGUGCAGGCGGUUCAAUAAGCUGAUGUGAAAGCCUUCGGCUCAACCGGAGAAUUGCAUCAGAAACUGUUGAACUUGAGUGCAGAAGAGGAGAGUGGAACUCCAUGUGUAGCGGUGGAAUGCGUAGAUAUAUGGAAGAACACCAGUGGCGAAGGCGGCUCUCUGGUCUGCAACUGACGCUGAGGCUCGAAAGCAUGGGUAGCGAACAGG